GACGAACGCUGGCGGCGUGCUUAACACAUGCAAGUCGAACGGAAAGGCCCUGCUUUUGUGGGGUGCUCGAGUGGCGAACAGGUGAGUAACACGUGAGUAACCUGCCCUUGACUUUGGGAUAACUUCAGGAAACUGGGGCUAAUACCGGAUAGGAGCUCCUGCUGCAUGGUGGGGGUUGGAAAGUUUCGGCGGCUGGGGAUGGACUCGCGGCUUAUCAGCUUGUUGGUGGGGUAGUGGCUUACCAAGGCUUUGACGGGUAGCCGGCCUGAGAGGGUGACCGGCCACAUUGGGACUGAGAUACGGCCCAGACUCCUACGGGAGGCAGCAGUGGGGAAUAUUGCACAAUGGGCGGAAGCCUGAUGCAGCAACGCCGCGUGCGGGAUGACGGCCUUCGGGUUGUAAACCGCUUUCGCCUGUGACGAAGCGUGAGUGACGGUAAUGGGUAAAGAAGCACCGGCUAACUACGUG
rnacentral:rRNA from 1 species